rnacentral:rRNA from 1 species
ACUGCUCAGUAACACGUGGAUAACAUGCCCUAAGGUGGGGGAUAAUCUCGGGAAACUGAGGGUAAUACCCCAUAGGUCUAUUUUGCUGGAAUGCUAAUAGGCCGAAAACUCCGGUGCCUUAGGAUUGGUCUGCGGUCUAUCAGGCUGUAGUGGGUGUAAUGGACCCACUAGCCCGUGACGGAUAUGGGCCUUGAGAGAGGGAGCCCAGAGAUGGACUCUGAGACAUGAGUCCAGGCCCUACGGGGCGCAGCAGUCGUGAAAACUUCGCAAUGGGGGCAACCCCGACGAGGGAAUUCCAAGUGCUAGCACUUUGUGUUAGCUGUUCUCCUGUCUAAAAAACAGGAGGAGUAAGGGGCGGGUAAGACGGGUGCCAGCCGCCGCGGUAAUACCCGCGCCCCAAGUGGUGGUCGAUAUUAUUGAGCCUAAAACGUCCGUAGCCGGUCUUCUAAAUCCUUGGGUAAAUCGGGCAGCUUAACUGUCCGAAGUCCGGGGAGACUGGGAGACUUGGGACCGGGAGAGGUCAGAGGUACUUCUGGGGUAGGGGUAAAAUCCUGUAAUCCUGGAAGGACCACCGGUGGCGAAGGCGUCUGACUAGAACGGAUCCGACGGUGAGGGACGAAGCCCUGGGGCGCAAACGGGAUUAGAUACCCCGGUAGUCCAGGGUGUAAACGCUGCGGGCUUGGUGUUGGGGGUCCUUAGUGGGCGCCCAGUGCCGGAGAGAAGUUGUUAAGCCUGCUGCUUGGGGAGUAUGUCCGCAAGGAUGAAACUUAAAGGAAUUGGCGGGGGAGCAC